CCCAAUCCCCGCAGGGACCCCGAGUGGGUUUAGGUCCCUCGUUUAAGGUCGUCGUGGCGUCUGGCCGUGGGUAGAAGGAGUCACAGAGAAGGAGGAAUUUACAAUGGGCGCAAGGGAGAGGAAGUGAUGAAGAGGAUUAACACCCUGCUUCUAAUUCUGGCCAACUCGGAGGCCCUGCAUGGAAAAUCAGAAGUGACAAGAAUCCUGGAAGAGGGCCACCUGGCCAUCAGAAAAUUCCAGAGGGAUGUGGUCACUGCCAGACACACACUUGGUUAGAAAUGGAACUAUGUAGUGUUAUGGAAGUGAGUGGCAUAUUGCCAUGAGUAAUGAGAUAUGAUCCCAGCAGCACCCACCACACCAAGAA